GUGGCUAUAGCUCAGUUGGUAGAGCCCCGGAUUGUGAUUCCGGUUGUCGUGAGUUCGAGUCUCAUUAGCCACCCCAUUU
rnacentral:tRNA from 1 species